GGGGUAAAGGCCUACCAAGGCGUUCACGGGUAGCCGGCCUGAGAGGGUCGGACGGCCACAUUCGGGACUGAGAUACGGCCCAGACUCCUACGGGAGGCAGCAGUGGGGAAUAAUGCACAAUGGGCGCAAGCCUGAAGCAGCGACGCCGCGUGGGGGAAUGACGGCCCUCGGGUUGUAAACUCCUUUUCUUAGGGACGAAACCGCACUUUUUUUUGGGUGUUGGUGACGGUACCUUUUUUAAGAAAGCACCGGCUAACUACGUGCCAGCAGCCGCGGUAAUACGUAGGGUGCGAGCCUUUUCCGGAAUUACUGGGCGUAAAGAGCUCGUAGGUGGUUUGUUGCGUCGUCUGUGAAAUUCCGGGGCUUAACUUCGGGGUGGCAGGCGAUACGGGCAUAACUAGAGUGCUGUAGGGGAGACUGGAAUUCCUGGUGUAGCGGUGGAAUGCGCAGAUAUCAGGAGGAACACCGAUGGCGAAGGCAGGUCUCUGGGCAGUAACUGACGCUGAGGAGCGAAAGCAUGGGGAGCGAACAGGAUUAGAUACCCUGGUAGUCCAUGCUGUAAACGGUGGGCGUUAGGUGUGGGGACCGGUUUGGUUUCUGUGCCGUAGCUAACGCAUUAAGCGCCCCGCCUGGGGAGUACGGCCGCAAGGCUAAAACUCAAAGGAAUUGACGGGGGCCCACACAAGCGGCGGAGCAUGUGGAUUAAUUCGAUGCAACGCGAAGAACCUUACCUGGGUUUGACAUGCACCAGACGGUUGUAGAGAUACGUACCUCCCUUUGUGGUUGGUGUGCAGGUGGUGCAUGGUUGUCGUCAGCUCGUGUCGUGAGAUGUUGGGUUAAGUCCCGCAACGAGCGCAACCCUUGUCUUAUGUUGCCAGCACUUUGGGUGGGGACUCAUGAGAGACUGCCGGGGUUAACUCGGAGGAAGGUGGGGAUGACGUCAAAUCAUCAUGCCCUUUAUGCCCAGGGCUUCACACAUGCUACAAUGGUUAGUACAACGCGCUGCAAGCCUGUGAGGGUGAGCGAAUCGCUGAAAGCUAAUCUCAGUUCGGAUUGGGGUCUGCAACUCGGCCCCAUGAAGUCGGAGUCGCUAGUAAUCGCAGAUCAGCAAUGCUGCGGUGAAUACGUUCCCGGGCCUUGUACACACCGCCCGUC
rnacentral:rRNA from 1 species